rnacentral:tRNA from 1 species
GAGGGGAUAGCUCAGUAGUAGAGCGUAUGCCUAGCAUGCAGGAGGUCCUGGGUUCAAUUCCCAUUCCCUCCA